UACGAAGGGGGCUAGCGUUGUUCGGAUUUACUGGGCGUAAAGCGCACGUAGGCGGAUCGUUAAGUCGGGGGUGAAAUCCUGGAGCUCAACUCCAGAACUGCCUUCGAUACUGGCGAUCUUGAGUCCGGAAGAGGUGAGUGGAACUCCUAGUGUAGAGGUGAAAUGCGUAGAUAUCUGGAGGAACACCGGUGGCGAAGGCGGCAUCCUGGACCGACACUGACGCUGAGGAGCGAAAGCCAGGGGAGCAAACGGG
rnacentral:rRNA from 1 species